rnacentral:rRNA from 1 species
AAAAACUGAGGUGGUGUAAGAUGGGCCCGCGUCUGAUUAGGUAGUUGGUGGGGUAGAAGCCUACCAAGCCGACGAUCAGUAGCCGACCUGAGAGGGCGACCGGCCACAUUGGGACUGAGACACGGCCCAAACUCCUACGGGAGGCAGCAGUGGGGAAUAUUGCACAAUGGGGGAAACCCUGAUGCAGCGACGCCGCGUGAGUGAGGAAGUAUUUCGGUAUGUAAAGCUCUAUCAGCAGGGAAGAAAAUGACGGUACCUGACUAAGAAGCCCCGGCUAACUACGUGCCAGCAGCCGCGGUAAUACGUAGGGGGCAAGCGUUAUCCGGAUUUACUGGGUGUAAAGGGAGCGUAGACGGAUAAGCAAGUCUGAUGUGAAAAUCCGGGGCCCAACCCCGGAAUUGCAUUGGAAACUGCAUAUCUAGAGUGUCGGAGAGGCAAGUGGAAUUCCUGGUGUAGCGGUGAAAUGCGUAGAUAUCAGGAGGAACACCAGUGGCGAAGGCGGCUUGCUGGACGAUGACUGACGUUGAGGCUCGAAAGCGUGGGGAGCAAACAGGAUUAGAUACCCUGGUAGUCCACGCCGUAAACGAUGACUACUAGGUGUCGGGAGGCAAAGCCUUUCG